UUGGCUAUCUUCAUAAACUCCUAACUUUAGAUUUUAUUGCUUCGCUCUACUUAACAAGUUUAAAUUUCUUUUAUAGCAUUUUUUAAAAAGUGUUCUUCCCCAAGAGGCAAAUUAUUCUACUCGCCUAUAAAAAGCAUGUUUAAUAGAAAGCAAAAUUGCAAAUAUCACUGACCAACCAACUAAAAAAGUCAUUAAAAUCAAACCGUGGUAAUUUAGCAUGUAAUAAAACGACAUCACAUCUUUCUGUCAUUGUAACUGAAACCACUUCAUUUUCGCCUUCACCAUCCAAGUACAAAGGGUUCAAGUUUAUUGUAGAAAACUUGUAUCUAAUUUAGACCAUCGCUCUAUUUUUUAUGAUCUUCACUUCUCUGUGUAAAGUAUCCUCUUCGUUUCAUGUUUGAAAUGCAUACAUCCAUCCAUAAACAGCAACCUCACUAUUUAUUGCUGCUGGGCUGGUGGGACUAGGCCACUUUAUUUUAAUUAAAGUCAAAGUCAAGUUGUUGUUAAUAGUAAAACUCUCCGACGACUGACUGACUCACUUUUAUUUCAACGCUCUACGUUUUAUUAUUCCCCUUUGUGCCAUGCAAAAUGUAAAGAAGAAAGACGCAGUCUUUCAUUGUCUGGUAGAAAAAUAGUGUGUGUGGUAUGUCCUCGCAAUUUACUUGCAUUAACCCAUUAAGUAAACCUCUCGCUUUUAAAAGAAGAAGAAGGAGUAGGACAGGUUCAAGUUCAGGUGCAAAAAAGACGAGAUUUUCUUAAGAUUCAUUGAAUUGAAUGGCUGUGUGUGCAACACGGUGCGUUAUUUGUUGCGAGUAAGAGGAUUUACGAGUUGUGAAUUGCAUAUUGUAGCAUUUUUUAAGCUCAAUUUACUCACAAAAGUGACUCAUCAAGUUAAUCAAUCAAGAAUCGAGAAGUGUGUUGUGUUUUGUUGUCUUCGUAUCUACAUGCAUACAUGAGUGCAAACAGCUUUAAUCUUUGUUUGACUUGAUUCAGUGUGGUGUGGUGUGUACUUACUCCACUUUUUUGUGGCGUACUAGUACUGCAUGCAUAUUAUAUUAUGUAGUUUUUGCGAAAAACAUAGUUUAACUUGACUUGAUGGAUUGUUUAGUGGGUGGGUUUGCAGGGUGUCGGCUGGUCCAUGUCCAUGUCAUCAGUAAUGUAUAUAUAUUUAUCAGGAAUCCAUACUUGUCUUGUGGUGGGAUAGAUUUGUUACAAAAAAAGUUAUCAUAUUCCAUAACUGAAAAUAACAAUAAGUGAGUGCGUUUUUUGAGUGAUGAUGGGAGUUUAGCUUGGUUGGAGUCUAACAACAAGGAAGUAAUUUAGUUAUCAUACUCUUGGUGGAUGGAUAUGUUAAAAUCUCGAUUGUUUCAUCCAUUUGUCGAGUGCUUUGUGUUGUUGUUGAGUUGAUCAGUUGCAGCGAUAAGGUUGGAAUACCGUCGCUGUGUGGAAGUGGUUGGCAAAUGAUGAUAAGUGUGGAAUUUGUCGUGCCCCCUUUGAUGGUUGUUGUUCUGAUUGCAAAGUUCCGGGAGACGAUUGUCCAUUAGUCUGGGGAGUUUGCUCUCAUUG